rnacentral:rRNA from 1 species
UGCCAGCAGCCGCGGUAAUACGGAGGGUGCAACCGUUAAUCGGAAUUACUGGGCGUAAAGCGCGCGUAGGCGGUUUGUUAAGUUGGCUGUGAAAGCCCCGGGCUUAACCUGGGAGGGUCAGUCAAAACUAGCAAACUAGAGUACAGUAGAGGAGUGUGGAAUUUCCGGUGUAGCGGUGAAAUGCGUAGAGAUCGGAAGGAACACCAGUGGCGAAGGCGGCACUCUGGACUGAUACAGACGCUGAGGUGCGAAAGCGUGGGGAGCAAACAGGAUUAGAUA